UGCCAGACUCCUACGGGAGGCAGCAGUGAGGAAUAUUGGUCAAUGGGCUUACGCCUGAACCAGCCAAGUCGCGUGAGGGAAGACUGCCCUAUGGGUUGUAAACCUCUUUUGUCAGGGAGCAACGCCGGCUACGUGUAGCCGGACUGAGAGUACCUGAAGAAAAAGCAUCGGCUAACUCCGUGCCAGCAGCCGCGGUAAUACGGAGGAUGCGAGCGUUGUCCGGAAUCAUUGGGCGUAAAGAGUUCGUAGGCGGCACGUAAAGUCUGGUGUUAAAGGCAGAGGCUCAACUUCUGUACGGCACUGGAUACUUGCGAGCUAGAAUGCGGUAGAGGUAAAGGGAAUUCCUGGUGUAGCGGUGAAAUGCUUAGAUAUCAGGAGGAACAUCGGUGGCGUAAGCGCUUUACUGGGCCGUAAUUGACGCUGAGGAACGAAAGCCAGGGUAGCAAAUGGGAUUAGAUACCCCAGUACAG
rnacentral:rRNA from 1 species